GCAGAAAGUGUUCACUUCUUCUGUUUCGGGCUGUACGCUGUGGUUCUGCGCCUCCAGGGCUUUGCUGCCUGGCGAGCGUCCUCCCUGUACCACAGGAUCCUUGCCCGACUACAAACCCGAGGCUUCUAUUAGGAUAGUCUGGAUUCGCCAUAGGGGUUUCUCCUAGCGCGGAUUGUGUGUUUGCGUUGGCGAUGCUCAUAGAAGAAAGGCGCAGAGCUGUACGAGGAGGCGGGAUGCACGGGUCAGAGCCCUCGGUGGCCUCCGCCCGCUGCUCUUGGCGCCGGUCCGCUCCUGGAGAUAGCGCGGCAGCCGCCUGGGAGGCGAAGCGCGUAAUCUCCGCGCUACCCACGCGGGGCCGCGGCGUGGUGGCCGCACUUUGGCUUUGGGCGCUGGAUGGACAGUGGGGUAAAGGGUUGGGGUUCCCCUAACGUGGAUUACUUGGUGCUUAUCAACUGGAUUUAGAAGACUCUCGACCUGGUCUCCAUCAUCCGUGGGUUGUCUUUCCAUCUCCCAGCCGCUCUUUCACCUGGAGGUAGGCCGAGGAGACUGACCUGCUUAUCCAUGCUACUUAUCAGGAACUGUGGAACCAUGGAGAACAUGACCCUGGCCCUCCCUUCAGGAUCUGCCUGAGAUCUGGCUGCCUCUUGAGACACUAGAGCCCUGGAUUCAAUUGCGGAACAUUAUGUUGGAGAAUAUAAACACUUCUAGACUGUGCCGGCAUUUGGGAAGGAAUAGUCUGUUUUGACUUGAAUGAACAAAGACAUACGUCUCUGGGCCUGGGGAAGGCUUACCAGCUCAGCUCAUCUACUGUCUGGUGGCAAACAUGUCCUGGGUACUGCCACUACCCAGGACACUCUUCCUCACUCUGUCCCUGUCCAGUUACCGCACCCUUCCCUGUCUGACCCCGCCUCCUGUGCCCACUCGCCUCUGGACCCAGAGAUUCUUCUUGUUUGCUCUAUCAUCCUUGAGCCGGAUACAGGGUGAAUAGUUAACCACACUUGGGUUGAAUGGGAUCUUGAUUCUUAUUUCUGUUCCUUGGAAAGAGGGGUCAGACUCGGUGCGUGGCACCCGGCCUGGAAGCAGCACAAGACUCCAGAGUGAUACAUGAUCUGCCUGGAUGGUCCCAGGGGCUCUUUGGAGGUCAGAGCAAGAGGAGCAGCCUGAGCAGGGGGGCUGAGGAGGGCCGGCACUGGAUCACACGCAGGCGUAUGUCUGGAUAGGCAGAGAGGAACCCACUUUUCAUUCCCUCUUCUGUGACACAAAUGCAAGGAACUUUGAAGACACUCUUCGGAGGUUGCAAUCGGAGAUCAGCUUAUCCAAGGGCUUCAUGUCUGAGCUCUGUUGGUCGUGCCUCCUGAGGACCUCUUUCCUCUACUGUAUGCUGAUGACACACCCAUCCGAUGGGAGCUGGAGCCUUGUCUGGUCCUUUCCUCUAUGACCCCACGUGUACAGUUGGAAAUCCUUCCUAAUCAUGCCUUGAUUCCCCCUUUUCGACUACACUCAAAGAUGUUUGAGCUGUUUUAUUUGCAAAAUGGAUGGACAGUUUGUUUAUAUAAAACAAUCCCAGCUUCCUUGUGCUCUAUCUGGUGUGUUUGUAUGGCUCUUCAGUGACUUUAAAGUGGAGCAUUGACCUUGGCCUCUUUGAUUCUCCAUGGUGGAAUAGAGAAGACCUCUUGAGGAUGCUUAAUGUUGCUGAGAUCUUAAGAAGGCUUGCAGACUUCCUCUUCCUCCCUCCUUCUCCCACCUCCUCCUUCCCUAAGCAGCCUCUGCAUUGUAUAAAUUCCUUUAUAUAAAUUCCUCUG
ensembl:lincRNA 2610035D17Rik RIKEN cDNA 2610035D17 gene